GCGUGGGUUUGGACUGAUGGCAGGUCCGAUCCGCGGGCCUCUCGUCGUGUCCCAUGCCAGAGCAAACGGGAACCACGAACCACUGAGCGGCUUUACCCGUGGGCUUCAGACACGGAAGCAGGUUGCAUAGCG